GUAGCCUUCGUGAUCCAUCGUGUAGGCUUCGGCUGAGAUAUGAAGCUUAAAUACCCGUCUUCGGUUAACCUUCGUAUGUCCAUCUUUUGCUAUCGUAUAUAAUUUCGGCACCAUCGUAUAGACUUCGUUAUUCAUCGUACUUGCUUUGGUCACUUUUUGGUAUUUUAACGAGAUUGGGACCAACUUCGUACGAACUUACAAUUUUCG
rnacentral:lncRNA from 1 species